CUUUUCCGGCCUCUGCAGCUGCGCGGGCGGGCGUGGUUGCCGGGGACGCGCGGCCCCCGGUCGGGCACUGCAGGCGGCGAAACGACUUGGGAAGGCCCUUUCGGGACGGAGUCUUGCUCUGUCACCCAAGCUGGAGUACAGUGGUACAAUCUCGGCUCACUGCAACCUCCGCCUCCUGGGUUCAAGCGAUUCUCCUGCCUCAGCCUCCCAAGUAGCUGGGAUUACAGAAGCGCACCACCACACCUGGUUAAUUUUUGUAUUUUUAGUAGAGACGAGGUUUCACCAUGUUGGCCAGGCUGGUCUCAAACUUCUGACCUCAAGUGAUCCACCCACCUCGGCCUCCCAAAGUGCUGGGAUUACAGGCAUGAGCCACCACGCCUGGCCAGAGUUGUCUUGAUAGAGGUCUUGUAAUUAUUUGAAUUAGAAAAUUUUCUGUUAAAAUAUGUCCACAAAUUCUUUGGUAACCCUCCCUUCAAGAAGUGAAGCCUAAAUCCCUUCCCUUCCAGUGUGAGCUAGACUUAGUGACUCAGUUCUAUGAGUAAAAGUGGUGGAACUGAUAGUGUGACUUCUGAGACUAGGUCAUAAUAGGCAUUGUGGCUUCCUCCUUGCUCUCCCUCUCAGAUCACUUGCUCUGGGGGAAACCAGCAGCCAUGUUGUGAGGACACCCAAGCAGCUCUAUGGAGAGGCCUACAUGGAGAGUAACCAAGGUCCCCUAUCAAUAGCCAGCAAGGAACAGAAGCCUCCUGCCAACAGUCACGUAGCACGCAUACUUUCCCCAAGAUAGAAGCCCUGGGCCUGGGGGAUUGAGGUGUGGAGAUCUACCUGUCUCACGGCUGCUUGUGACCAUGCAUCUGACUGCCAAUGCUCUGGAGAGCAGAGAGCUCAGUUGAGGUCUGUCAAGAGUCCACUGCAGCUGCUUCACAUUUAAACGGCACGUACAAGAUUAUGAAGCUUUCCUGGCUGCCGAGGAGCUCAGCAGACUUGUUUAAAACUGAGACUGGUGACUGAACGAAAAAAAAUGUGA